rnacentral:rRNA from 1 species
GACAGAGGGUGCAAACGUUGUUCGGAAUUACUGGGCGUAAAGCGUGCGUAGACGGUUGCGUAAGUCAGAUGUGAAAGCCCCGGGCUCAACCUGGGAAUUGCAUUUGAGACUGCGUAGCUAGGGUGCGGAAGAGGGAAGCGGAAUUUCCGGUGUAGCGGUGAAAUGCGUAGAGAUGUGGAGGAACACCAGUGGCGAAGGCGGCUUUCUGGUCUGUAACUGACGCUGAGGCGCGAAAGCGUGGGGAGCAACAGG